UCAUUAGAACAGAAGAGUAAAUACUCAAUAAGUGUUAGCUGCUGACACUAAUAACAUUACUAGUUCUACCAUUUGACAAUUCAUUAUAUUCCAAAUAGAAAGCACUGGCAUUUAAUAUUAAUUAAGAGUAAAUAAAGAGGGGCUAUGUUUGUAAAAGGUCAUCUCUGAUUUUGAGUCUGUUUGGUAUCCUAUUACAUCCAACACAGGAAUAAGGAAUUAAUUAGGACUUCUGUCAGGACUAGUGAUGUGGCCACGUGACUCUACUAGGCAAUGGCAGAUGUGACUAAGAAAAUAACUGGCCAUGGAGGCUUCUGUGGGGAUGCGCUCCCUCCUUCAGAACCAGCAGAAUCACCAUGUCCUGGAUGUUAUGAAUGUGCUCAGCAGAUGAUGUGAGCAAGUAGAGGCAAAAAGUUCUUGAUUCACUACCUGAAGAAGCCCUCCAGAUGCCAGGCCUGCCUAGGAAACAUCUCAACUGAUGGAUCCCCUGAUUACCCAGGAGCAUCCCACUCUGGAGAUGGUUUCUGUGGGCUUGGCCACACACGCUACCAGUAGCUCGAAGAGGUCCCUCAGCAUGGCAUUGAU